rnacentral:rRNA from 1 species
CCUACGGGAGGCAGCAGUAGGGAAUAUUGCUCAAUGGGGGAAACCCUGAAGCAGCAACGUCGCGUGGAGGAUGAAGGUUUUCGGAUUGUUAAAUCCUUUUGUUAGAGAAGAUAAUGACGGUAUCUAACGAAUAAGCACCGGUUAAAUCCGUGCCAGCAGCCGCGGUAAUACGGAGGGUGCACGCGUUACUCGGAAUCACUGGGCGUAAAGAGCGCGUAGGCGGGAUAGAAAGUCAGAUGUGAAAUACUAUGGCUUAACCAUAGAACUGCAUUUGAAACUGUUAUUCUAGAGUAGGGGAGAGGUAGGUGGAAUUCGUGGUGUAGGGGUAAAAUCCGUAGAGAUCAAGAAGAAUACUCAUUGCGAAGGC